UUGGUCUUAAACCCCUUAUUACUUUUACCCCCUAUUUAUACAUGCAAGACUCACCAUUACAGUGAAAUAGCCCACCAACACACUAACCGGAGCAGGCAUCAGGAAACCAGCCCAAGACGCCAAGCAAAAAUCAUAAGCCACACCCCCACGGGCCAGCAGCAGUAGAUAAUAUUAGGCCAUAAGCGCAAGCUUGACCUAGCAAGGGGGCGUAUAGGGCCGGUUAAUAUCCGUGCCAGCGACCGCGGUUACACGACAGACCCAAAAUAAUACUAACGGCGUAAAGCACGACUAAAAAUUAAGUCAAAACAUUAGGAACGAAGCCAAACCGGGCUGUAAAAAGCCAUAAGCCACACUAACCACACCCUAAUAACAAACACCUUCAACUCGUGAAAGUUAGGAUACAAACUAAGAUUAGAUACCCUACUAUGCCUAACCGUAACACAACAAUUAAAUUACCAAUUGUUCGCCAAAUAACUACGAGUAAAAACUUAAAAUUUAAAAGACUUGACGGUGCCUCAAAACAACCUAGAGGAGCCUGUCUAAUAACCGAUACCCCACGAUUAACCCAACCCACCCUAGCCUGACAGUCUAUAUACCGCCGUCGCCAGCCUACCUUGUGAAAGUAACAAAGUGAGCUUAAUAGUCAUACACUAACACGACAGGUCGAGGUGUAACUAAUGGGCGGGAUCAAGAUGGGCUACAUUUUCUAAACCAGAAAACACGAAUUAACCUAUGAAAAAGAAACUGAAGGCGGAUUUAGUAGUAUGCUGGGAACAACAAACCUAACAGAAAUCAGCGCAAUGAGGUGCGU
rnacentral:ncRNA from 1 species